CCCCAGAAGCGCUCUCAACUAUCCUCUACCAGCUAUGAUUUAUAGCAAGUUGGCCUGCUGAUGUGGAAAUUUUUAAAAAAAUGAACUACUGCUACUCUUGUAAGGAUUUGCAAGUCGAAGCCCAAAGGAUGUCUGUGAUGAUUACUCAAAUCACAAGCAGCUGACAUUGGCAUGACCUUAGAUGCAGCAGCCCAAGAGCUUUGCUGGUGUACUCUUCCUGGUAUGUAAAACAAGAAGAGAUGUGAGAGCAUCCAAGCUGCCUGUGCAGGACAAGCCGUGCGUCUGGCAAACACUCCUAAGCCCUCAUUCCUUCUUUGCUUAAGCUGAGGUCAACAAGUGUGUUCAAGGUUAAAAAAAUAAAAAAGCUGUUUGAGAACAUAUGUGCCCGCUGCGUGGGGAGGCCACCAUGCCGUUAGGAGGUGACUCGCCAGGUUACGGAGGUCAGCUACCAAACACCACGCCUGGCACAGCACCAGCGCCCGGGAGGGGGAUCCGACCGGCCUGGGCACGGCGCCACACUAACAGAUGGGCACGUGUGCAAGCAUCCAAGCAGCUGAAGGCAGGGUACCUGUUUUGGGAUGCAGCUGCAGGAAAGCUAUGAGCUGAAUUCUGCGCUCUCAUUUAUGCCUGCUUUGGGGGCGCUUGCAAUGUCAGAGUUCUCCAAAAAUGCUUCCUCUGCACAAACUCUUCCCAUGGGAGAGGAUCGCAGUACUGGGCGCAUCCUCACGGCCAUGUUCAACACUAGCCCCUUGCCGCCCUGCGCCCCGUGGGCAGUGCAGCUGGGCAGCAGGGGAUGGGUGGGUUUGUGGUCUGCAGCGUGAGCAUCUUGGGUCCCAGCACAGGAGAAGGGCCUGCAAAUAUGUGAGAAACCCUGGCCAUGGAGCAGGGAAAUCGGAACAAGCUCAGUGAGGAUCUUGCUUUAUGCGUGGGGUCUCAUUUAAAAAUUUGGUAACAUCUGCUGAAAAGCAUGUCUGCCUCAUUUGUCUUCAACCUCUGCUCCAAACAGCUGACUGGUGUGGGUUUUGUGUGACAGCAACAGCCAGGAUACCAGAUAAGAUCAUCAAACAUAUUUUAUAUAAGCCAUCGAUAACAAUAUUCUGUCACUAAUAACCAAAGCCAGAUUCAAAGCCAUGCCCAUUCAUUUCAAUCAGCGUGUCAGUUUGAUGAUGUAAAG